UCUCUCCCUCCCUUUCUCUCUCUCUCCUUCUGUCUGUCUCUCUCUGUCUCUCCUUUGUCUGUAUAAGCGCAUUUUGGUUUUAUUUUUCAAACGAGUCUAUUUUUUUAAUCUCGAGGGACCAAUUUGUGUAUUUCCGAAUCCCUCACACCCUCUCUCCCUUUCUCUCUCUCUCUCCAUCUCUCCUUCUGUGUCGGUAGAGAGAGAGAACAAAAAAAUCUCAUUACGUACCCAUAACAUUAUAAUCACCCCAUCGACAUAUCUAUUCCGCUUGCUAUUUCGUCCGUAUCCGUUCCGUUCGCAUCAUCUAUUCAUACAUAUCCUGCUUUUGCUGCCGUGUAUUCCGCCGCCACAUUACGUCGUUUAUACAUUUCCGUUCGUGUGUCUGGAGGUCAACGUGGAGGUCAUCGUGGCUCUAUACCGGGUCACAGUCAUGUAUGAGGUCAGAACCCACUGUUGAGAGGUCAUAGACAGGUUAGAAUGAGCUAUGAGAUGUCUUGAUGUGGUCAUAAUAAGAUACAGAAGGUUAUUAAGAGGUCAAAUCCAGUGUUACGAGGUCAGAAACAGGUCAAAAUUAGCUAUACGAGGUCUUAAUUUGGUCAUAGUAAGCUGAAACAGGUCAUUAACAGGUUGUAAUCAGGUGUGAGAGGUCAGGUUUAGCCACAGAAGAGCAGAAAAGGUCAUAAUUCCACUGUUACAAGGUCAGAAACAGGUCAAAAUUAGCUAUACAAGGUCUUAAUCUGGUCGUAGUAAGCUGAAACACAUCAUUAACAGGUUGUAAUCAGAGGUCAGGUUUAGCCACAGAAGAGCAGAAAAGGUCAUAAUUUCACUGUUACAAGGUCAGAAACAGGUCAAAAUUAGCUAUACAAGGUCUUAAUCUGAUCAUAGUAAGCUGAAACACAUCAUUAACAGGUUGUAAUCAAGUGUAGGAGGUCAGGUUUAGCCACAGAAGAGCAGAAAAGGUCAUAAUUCCACUGUCACAAGGUCAAAAACAGGUCAAAAUUAGCUAUACGAGGUCUUAAUUUGGUCGUAGUAAGCUGAAACAGGUCAUUAACAGGUUGUAAUCAGGUGUGAGAGGUCAGGUUUAGCCACAGAAGAGCAGAAAAGGUCAUAAUUCCACUGUUACAAGGUCAGAAACAGGUCAAAAUUAGCUAUACAAGGUCUUAAUCUGGUCAUAGUAAGCUGAAACAGGUCAUUAACAGGUUGAAAUCAGAGGUCAGGUUUAGCCACAGAAGAGCAGAAAGAAAGAGAGAUAAAGGAAGAAAAGGAAAGAAUGCUGAAUACAAGAAAUGAGAGGUUGAUAGGAGAAUGAAUGGAGUAAGUAGGAGUCCAAUCCCUUCCCUACACAGACUGCCAGUAACAUAAGUCUCACCACAGUAUAUAUAUAAAACAACAUUGAUACUCUGUUAAGUUACGGUCCAUUCCUCGCUAGACUUCCAGUAAGUUGUGAUUUUUCCAUCCUCCGAGAAACUGCCAUUGAGGGGUGACGUUACACAAGCUUGGUCACCCCUUCAAGCUUUCAGUGUUAGUAUAGAUAUGACCUUUAAUAUUAACAUGUACAUCCAUUCCACGACAGACAGAUAGAUAGAUAGAAAGAUAGAUGAGAAAGCAAUACGAACGUGAUAUCUCGUAAGCUUUUGAUCAUUGUUACAAGCAUGAAGAAACAAACACAAUAUAGGAGAAGAAAGAGGAGUUUAUAUAAUCCUUCCAUCCCUUCACAGACUCCCAACAAGAUAGAGAAUAGAACUACACAACCUUGAUCAUCUCGUAACCUUCCGAUCAUUGUUACAAGCAUGAAAAAACUAACACACACACUUGAAUUAUAGGAGAAGAAAGAGGAGUUUAUAUAAUCCUUCCAUCCCUUCACAGACUCCCAAUAAGAUAGAGAAUAGAACUUCACAACCUUGAUCAUCUCGUAAGCUUUCGAUCAUUGUUACAAGCAUGAAAAAACUAACACACACACUUGAAUUAUAGGAGAAGAAAGAGGAGUUUAUAUAAUCCUUCCAUCCCUUCACAGACUGCCGAUAACAUAGAGAAUAGAACUACACAACCUUGAUCAUCUCGUAAGCUUUCGAUCAUUGUUA